GAGCCAUUUUUGUUGUGGGCAAAGCCGUCCCGCCUCAGGUGAUUCCUGAUGGGGCUAAUUUCUAGACUUUGCGAUCUUUAAGAACCCCGCGUUUGCAAGGCAUCAUGUAAGUCUAUUAAACAAGACAGUAUUUCACAGGAUAUCAGAGUACCUAACAGUGUGUGAUACAGUCUUUAAAAAAAAGGUUUAGAAUGCCCUAGAAUGGGCAUUUAUGACAACUCCUGGAUGCUACAGCUGCUGCUCCUACUCAGGAUCACACUGGCCAAGGAGAUUAGUCCUUUGUUUUCACUACUGGAAUGUAUGUGGGACAGUAGGAUAUUUUUCAAACAGAAAUGUUAGCUGAAAUACAUACUUGUAAUGAGAUGUUGCACGUCUCAGCUCAGGUGUAAAAAUGUAGCAGUCACAUGAGUGGUGAAGAAUGUCAACCCUUGUCUGUGUUCUUGGGUCACAUUUUCCAAUACAAAACAGUUGAGCUUACAGCACCAGUCUGAACUUAAGUAUCAGCACCAUCACGUCCACUUCAGUGGUUCAAGUGGUUUAAGACUCAAAGCUUUGCCUCACAGUGCCUGGCCUCUAUGAGUAAUCAAAUAGUACUACACUAUUUGAUUAUUAAAAAGUUCCUGAUUUCUUAAUAUUUUUCAGACUUUAGCUUUUGGGGUGCCUAAGAGAAGUUAGAGGUUUUGAACCUAGCCUGGGCAUAGAUCUUAUUUUAAAAUUUUUAAAGCUUUUGUGUAUCUGGCUGAGUGUGGGUGUAGAGGCCAGAUGUGGAUGUCAGAUCAACUGGAACAGGCUUCUGUAAACCAGUACCACUGUGGGCACUGGGGACUGAACCAGGGGCUUCUGCAAGAGCAACAAGUGUUCUGAUUUUAAAACCUUCUAUCAAGCCUGCUGAAUUGUGAUGAAAUAUAGAAACAGUGGUAAGAGAAAAAUAAAGCAACCACCAUACAUGAGACUCUUUGGUUUUGGUGCGGUGAAGAGGGUAAAGAGGUAGAGGAUGGGUGUCUUGCAUGUGUGAGAGUCUUUACACACAAAAUUUGUUGCCUUUGAGGUUAUAUCAGAAGCAAGUCUCUUUCACUACCCCCUGCACCCUCUCCCCAGUACAGUAUAGGGGACAUAGUUUGGUACUGAAGAAAAUAACUUAAGCUGAAUUAAGUAACUUGGGAAUGUAUCUAUAUACUUAAGAACAUGUUUUUAAGACAUAUAGCAGCUGUGUACAGUAUAGUACACAGUGGUCUCUCUCCACUGGUAGUGGUUGGUAAGAAUAUAUAACAUAAAAAACAUGGGAUACAUGUGUGUUUUCCAAAGGAAAAGUUAAAAAAAAAAAAAAAAA